AACAAAGCGGCGUCGUGACGCCGGAUGAGUGUACCGCAAGAAUAAGCAUCGGCUAACUCCGUGCCAGCAGCCGCGGUAAUACGGAGGAUGCGAGCGUUAUCCGGAUUUAUUGGGUUUAAAGGGAGCGCAGGCUGCGAGGCAAGUCAGCGGUCAAAUGUCGGGGCUCAACCCCGGCCUGCCGUUGAAACUGUCCUGCUAGAGUUCGAGUGAGGUAUGCGGAAUGCGUUGUGUAGCGGUGAAAUGCAUAGAUAUGACGCAGAACUCCGAUUGCGAAGGCAGCAUACCAACUCGCGACUGACGCUGAGGCUCGAAAGCGUGGGUAUCGAACAGGAUUAGAUACCCUGGUAGUCCACGCAGUAAACGAUGAAUACUAACUGUUCGGAGGGCGACCUCUGAGUGGUAAAGCGAAAGCGUUAAGUAUUCCACCUGGGGAGUACGCCGGCAACGGUGCAACUCAAAGGAAUUGACGG
rnacentral:rRNA from 1 species